rnacentral:rRNA from 1 species
GAUGAACGCUGGCGGCGUGCCUAAUACAUGCAAGUCGAGCGAACGGACGAGAAGCUUGCUUCUCUGAUGUUAGCGGCGGACGGGUGAGUAACACGUGGAUAACCUACCUAUAAGACUGGGAUAACUUCGGGAAACCGGAGCUAAUACCGGAUGAUAUUUUGAACCGCAUGGUUCAAAAGUGAAAGACGGUCUUGCUGUCACUUAUAGAUGGAUCCGCGCUGCAUUAGCUAGUUGGUAAGGUAACGGCUUACCAAGGCAACGAUGCAUAGCCGACCUGAGAGGGUGAUCGGCCACACUGGAACUGAGACACGGUCCAGACUCAUACGGGAGGCAGCAGUAGGGAAUCUUCCGCAAUGGGCGAAAGCCUGACGGAGCAACGCCGCGUGAGUGAUGAAGGUCUUCGGAUCGUAAAACUCUGUUAUUAGGGAAGAACAUAUGUGUAAGUAACUGUGCACAUCUUGACGGUACCUAAUCAGAAAGCCACGGCUAACUACGU